rnacentral:rRNA from 1 species
GUUAGGAAUAUUGGACAAUGGGCGCAAGCCUGAUCCAGCCAUGCCGCGUGAACGAUGAAGGCCUUCGGGUUGUAAAGUUCUUUAGCCGAUGAUUAUAAUGACUGUAGUCGGAAAAUAAGCCCCGGCUAACUUCGUGCCAGCAGCCGCGGUAAUACGAAGGGGGCGAGCGUUAUUCGGAAUCACUGGGCGUAAAGCGUGCGUAGGCGGUCUCGUAAGUUAGGAGUGAAAGCCCAGGACUCAACCUGGAAAUUGCUCUUAAUACUGAAAGGCUAGAAUCUCGGAGAGGAUAGCGGAAUUUCCAGUGUAGCAGUGAAAUGCAUAAAUAUUGGAAGGAACACCAGUGGCGUAAGCGGCUAUCUAGACGAGUAUUGACGCUGAGGCACGAAAGCGUGGGGAUCAAACAGGAUUAGAAACCCCGGUAGUCC